GUUGCCAUCGGGCGAGCCGGGCACGUCUGGAGGGACUGCCGGCGACAAGCCGGAGGAAGGUGGGGAUGACGUCAAGUCAUCAUGGCCCUUAUGUCCAGGGCGACACACGUGCUACAAUGGCCGGCACAGCGGGAAGCGGAGGGGCGACCCUGAGCGGAAUCCCUUGAAAGCCGGUCCCAGUUCGGAUUGCAGUCUGCAACUCGACUGCAUGAGGUUGGAAUCGCUAGUAAUCGCGGAUCAGCCAAGCCGCGGUGAAUACGUUCCCGGGCCUU
rnacentral:rRNA from 1 species